CCUACGGGUGGCUGCAGUAAGGAAUAUUGGUCAAUGGAGGAAACUCUGAACCAGCCAUCCCGCGUGAAGGAUGAAGGGGCUCUGCCUUGUAAACUUCUUUUGUCUGGGGCGAAAAAGCUCGAUUUAUCGAGAACUGACGGUAUCAGAAGAAUAAGCACCGGCUAACUCCGUGCCAGCAGCCGCGGUAAUACGGAGGGUGCAAGCGUUAUCCGGAAUAACUGGGGUUAAGGGGUGCGAGUAAGUCUUUGGAGAAAGGCUGUGGCUUAACCAUGGAAUUGUCAUUGAUACUGCAGAUCUUGAAUGAGGUUGAGGUUGGCGGAAUGUGACAUGUAGCGGUGAAAUGCAUAGAUAUGUCAUGGAACACCGAUUGCGAAGGCAGCUGACUGGACCUAUAUUGACGCUGAGGCACGAAAGCGUGGGUAGCGAACAGGAUUAGAUACCCUGGUAGUC
rnacentral:rRNA from 1 species